ACUUCUGGCGGAUGUCGAAGUCGUCAGCGGGCCGGUUGUAAGCUUUCCACACCGGCUCCCCAACAAACAGCCUCAUGGCUUUAGUGUAGUUCUGUUGAGACAAGAAAGUGUUCAGAUCAGUCCCAAUGUGGCUGGAAUCAGGAGGCUCACUGUCCUUUACUUCAAGGUGAACCGAACAGGAAAGGAAGACGACACAAGGAUGUGGUCGAUCAGCAGCUACUACCUGCUGCUUCACAGACACAAACAGAGCUGUGUGUGAAAACUGAAGACAGACCAGGACGGAUUUCUUUGUCACAAAGCACAUAAUGGAUGAUGUUGGUUGCUGUUUGUAUGUUUAUUUUGUUAUGAUCAUGAAUUAGAAAUACAUUAAAAAAACAUUGACAUUUUU